UCCUCCGUGGCGCAAUUGGCUAGCGCGUCUGUAUGCCUACACUUGAUCAGACAUUUCAUCUUUCCAAAACUAACGAGAUACAGGACUGUUAUUAGCCCUACAAGGCAAAGCAAUCAGGAGGUUGACAGUUCAAGCCUGUCCGGGGGAG